rnacentral:rRNA from 1 species
UACGGAGGGGGCGAGCGUUGUCCGAAUUUAUUGGGCGUAAAGCGCGUGUAGGCGGAUAUUCAAGCCUGGGGUGAAAGGUUGGGGCUCAACCCCAAGAGUGCCCUGGGGACUGGGUGUCUGGAGGCAGGCAGAGGAGAGUGGAAUUCCUGGUGUAGCGGUGGAAUGCGUAGAGAUCAGGAAGAACUCCCAUGGCGAAGGCAGCUCUCUGGGCCUGUACUGACGCUGAGUCGCGAAAGCGUGGGGAGCGAUCGGG